UGGGGAAUAUUGGACAAUGGGCGAAAGCCUGAUCCAGCCAUGCCGCGUGUGUGAAGAAGGCCUUCGGGUUGUAAAGCACUUUAAGUUGGGAGGAAAAGCGGUACGUGAAUAUCGUAUAGCCAUGACGUUACCAACAGAAUAAGCACCGGCAAACUCCGUGCCAGCAGCCGCGGUAAUACGGAGGGUGCGAGCGUUAAUCGGAAUUACUGGGCGUAAAGCGCACGUAGGCGGUUCUGUAAGUGGGAUGUGAAACCCCCGGGCUUAACCUGGGACUUGCAUACCAGACUGCAAAGCUAGAGUAUGAGAGAGGGUGGUGGAAUUUCCGGUGUAGCGGUGAAAUGCGUAGAGAUCGGAAGGAACAUCAGUGGCGAAGGCGGCCACCUGGCUUAAUACUGACGCUGAGGUGCGAAAGCGUGGGGAUCAAACAGG
rnacentral:rRNA from 1 species